GGUGGUAGCUCAGUGGUAGAGCAUUGCCUAGCAUAUGCAAGACCCUGGGUUCAGUCCCCAGUGCCACCA
rnacentral:tRNA from 1 species